AUGAACGCUGGCGGCGUGCCUAACACAUGCAAGUCGAACGGAGACUACACGCUGACGAGACUUCGGUCAAAUCUUGUGUAUUCUUAGUGGCGGACGGGUGAGUAACGCGUGGGCAACCUGCCUCAUACUGGGGGAUAGCAGUUGGAAACGACUGAUAAUACCGCAUAAGCGCACAGUAUCGCAUGAUACAGUGUGAAAAACUCCGGUGGUAUGAGAUGGGCCCGCGUCAGAUUAGCCAGUUGGCAGGGUAACGGCCUACCAAAGCGACGAUCUGUAGCCGGCCUGAGAGGGCGGACGGCCACAUUGGGACUGAGACACGGCCCAAACUCCUACGGGAGGCAGCAGUGGGGGAUAUUGCACAAUGGGGGAAACCCUGAUGCAGCGACGCCGCCGUGAGUGAAGAAGUAUUUCGGUAUGUAAAGCUCUAUCAGCAGGGAAGAAAGGCCCGUAAGGGAGAUGACGGUACCUGACUAAGAAGCCCCGGCUAACUACGUGCCAGCAGCCGC
rnacentral:rRNA from 1 species